GCCUCCGUGGCGCAAUUGGUUAGCGCGUUCGGCUGUUAACCGAAAGGUUGGUGGUUCGAUUCCACCCGGUGGCG